AGUGAACGCUGGCGGUAGGCCUAACACAUGCCAGUCGAACGGCAGCACAGUAAGAGCUUGCUCUUACGGGUGGCGAGUGGCGCACGGGUGAGGAAUACAUCGGAAUCUACUUUUUCGUGGGGGAUAACGUAGGGAAACUUACGCUAAUACCGCAUACGACCUACGGGUGAAAGCAGGGGAUCUUCGGACCUUGCGCGAUUGAAUGAGCCGAUGUCGGAUUAGCUAGUUGGCGGGGUAAAGGCCCACCAAGGCGACGAUCCGUAGCUGGUCUGAGAGGAUGAUCAACCACACUGGAACUGAGACACGGUCCAGACUCCUACGGGAGGCAGCAGUGGGGAAUAUUGGACAAUGGGCGCAAGCCUGAUCCAGCCAUACCGCGUGGGUGAAGAAGGCCUUCGGGUUGUAAAGCCCUUUUGUUGGGAAAGAAAAGCAGCAGGUUAAUACCCCGCUGUUCUGACGGUACCCAAAGAAUAAGCACCGGCUAACUUCG
rnacentral:rRNA from 1 species